UACGUAGGGUGCGAGCGUUAAUCGGAAUUACUGGGCGUAAAGCGUGCGCAGGCGGUUCUGAAAGUCAGCUGCGAAAGCCCCGGGCUUAACCUGGGAAUUGCGGUUGAAACUACAGGGCUAGAAUCUGGCAGAGGGGGGUGGAAUUCCACGUGUAGCAGUGAAAUGCGUAGAGAUCGGGAGGAACAUCAGUUGCGAAGGCGGCUCUCUGGACCAGUACUGACGCUGAGGCACGAAAGCGUGGGGAGCAAACAGG
rnacentral:rRNA from 1 species